CCUACGGGAGGCAGCAGUUAGGAAUAUUCGACAAUGGGGGAAACCCUGAUCGAGCAAUGCCGCGUGAGUGAUGACGGUCCUAUGGAUUGUAAAACUCUGUUGUUUGGAAAGAAUUGUAAGAAGAGGAAAUGCUUCUUACUUGACGGUACCAUUCAAGAAAGCUCCGGCUAACUACGUGCCAGCAGCCGCGGUAAUACGUAGGGAGCGAGCGUUAUCCGGAUUUAUUGGGCGUAAAGCGUCCGCAGCCGGUUUAUUAAGUAUAGAAUUAAAGCCUGGAGCUCAACUCCAGUUCGUUCUAUAAACUGAUAGGCUGGAGUAUGGUAGAGGCAAGUGGAAUUUCUAGUGUAGCGGUAAAAUGCGUAGAUAUUAGAAGGAACACCAGUGGCGAAGGCGACUUGCUGGGCCAUUACUGACGGUCAUGGACGAAAGCGUGGGGAGCAAAUAGGAUUAGAUACCCUAGUAGUCCACGCUGUAAACCGAUGAGUACUAAGUGUCGGGUUACCGGUGCUGAAGUUAACACAUUAAGUACUCCGCCUGAGUAGUACGGUCGCGAGCGUGAACGUUAAAGUAAGUAGUAGACGNGNGAGAGCGACGACGACGACGACGGAGGAGGAG
rnacentral:rRNA from 1 species